rnacentral:rRNA from 1 species
UUGACCUCGGAUCAGGUAGGGAUACCCGCUGAACUUAAGCAUAUCAAAGGC